CCGACAAGGCGUCGGCGGUGUCGUGUCGAAGCUGAGGUCUUUGAUGGCUAUUGCCGAGUCUCAGCUGAAGCAGCAGCGGAAAUCAUAGAAGGCCUUCCACCUGCUUCCCUGCGUAAUCACUGAGUCGCUAGUGUCGCAUUUUGUUUGCUUGUAGCUGGAAAAAGUGAAAUGGUUAGCUUGCACGUUGAGGUUUGGUUCCUGUCUACUGCUUUCCUUAGUGAGAUUCUGGUGGUUGGUUCUCGUGUCAAACGAUUUCAGCCUAGUUAAAUUGCCGCGGCAUUCGAACUCCAUGUUUCGUGCUUGUACAUCCCAUCUGAGGUAUGAGACUGUUACGGCUGUGGUCAAGUGGAAAUCUAUCUUGAAGCAGGCAGACGUUUGGCAUUGAAUUCCUACAGAGUCGGUGCUAAAAAUUCUAGGUGGUUGUGGGAGAGCAUACGUGGCUUUUACGACAUUGAUACUAGACGCGACCGUCUGUGGGAUGUUUUACCUCAAUAAGAUAAGAGAUUGGGAUGUCUGUUUUCUACUUUAUUCUUUUAAUGAGAAAUUGUCCAGUGGGUUUGACAGAUAAAGCUAGUCCAACUAGAAUCUUUGAGGUUUUCUAUGAAUGGUUCUCUAAGAUUUAGUUUCUAUGAAACCCAUGAAUCUUUCAAUCCAUAGCGUUUUUGUUUUGAAUCUACUUUUACGCGUGCAGACUGAUUGGAUAUGAUAUUUGCCAUAUAUCUAUCUAUCCACUUAAUAAUUGCGGAUGUGAAUACAAAUACGGGCAUAGUUAGGUGAGGAAAACUCAUAUAUUAUGAAUACGGAUACGGAUCUGAUAAUCCAAGGUCAAAACAACUUCAACCGUUGAGUCAAUACAUAUAUUCCAAUAUUUAGGUAGAGAUCCAGAUGGUUUAUUUAUACCGGUAUGGUUCUUUGUAUCCGAUAAUUUUUUUUAAAUUGACAUCAAUAAUGAACCUAUGGAUAUAGGUAUUGAAAUAUCCCUAAUUUCUAUUUAUAAUAAGCCUAGUUUUAUAAAUUUUUAGUAGAUAUUCAAACAAUUGGGUUGACUAUAGUAAUUUAUAAAUAUAAUAUUACUUUAGGGCUUUUAUGUUUCUAUUAAAAGUAUUUAUAUAUAUGUUUUUUAAGGGGCUAGUGGUGAAAGGAAAUUUACUAUGGGGUUUAUUGGAAGUAGAAAACUAAUAUAAGAGAGAAAAUGAAACCCUAGCAUCAUACCUUCAGAAACCGCAGUCAAUAAAAAAGAAAAAUGAAAUGAGAAAGAAAACAUGCUGUGGCCAGAGAAGAAUAACUGAGGGAAAAAAAGGGUUAUAUUAUUAGAUUGGCCAACUUUGGAGAAGUGAGUUGCCAAUACUCUUUCGUAGUCGAUUCUGUGCUCUCCACCACUCUUCUUUUGAGAUCGAGGUGAUCUUUUCAACAUCAAUUGGUAAAUGCUCUUGUUGCUUUGUCAUACUUAUUGAAGCUUAGAAAAUAAUAAUAACUCAAAUAGGAAUGGUCGAUCUAGUCUGUGUUCACAUUGAUCCUAUAAUGAUUUUUAGCAAAUGAAGAGUUGAGCGUAAGUGUAGCAAUGAUCUAUUACCCGUAAGCUUGUUAGUAUAAGUUCUUAUCUACUCAUAAACAGCGAAACUAAAGAAUAGAAAAUAAAGUAUAGUGAUCUUGUUAUUCUAAACUUGAAACUAACAAUUAUGGAUCUAAGUCCUUUAAUUUAAUCCAUAUGGAUGCUUUGAGGUUGGCCUUGACAUUAGACAAUAGAAUAGUAUAAUUCGCCAUAAGACCAAUAGAGUCGAGCACACUUUGGGUUGCUAAGUUAGGUCCAUGUGACCCGUAUAAAACUAGUGUCUGAUCUAAUAUGAUAACUAUCAUUUCUUUUAGUUAGUAUAUCCUGAGAUUAUUUUAAUAGAUGUUCGGGUUUUAGAUUAUAUUGUAAUUUUGAUGGUUAUUUGUAUAUAUUAUGUAGGAAUCACAAGUGACUUCGAGGAGGCACCGUGACUGGUAUUCCAAUAGUCUUUCGUGUUUGAGGAGUUGUUUUAGGCUUUUCCUUUUAAUCUCAUGAUUGAAGAAAGCUUGAGGAGCACAUCCGUGGCAUUUCUACAGGACUACCUGGCUUCUUAUGAGGAUUUCCUAUCCUGUGCAUAUUUUGUAUUUAAAACUUAGAAGGUUGACAAAAUCUAUCCUGUGAUACUCACACGAAAAACAAUAUAGAGAUUCAGUAUCGAGCGGGAACAGAUUGGAAAUGUAAUUAGCUAUUAUAUGUUUCCUUGCACAUCCAAUGCAAUUCAUGUGAUUUCCUUUCAGAUCUUGUAUCAAGCAGUAUGCAGAUUGAGAUGUAUGUUGUCUGGUGUUAGGUUCUGUAUAAUUGUUAUAGCACGUAAUUUCAAGUGUUAAUCUCAGUUUAGUUACUCUUUAA